AUGCAAAGUGGAGCCUCUAUGGAAAUCAUCUUUCUACCAACACUGAAGUUUUCUGAACGAAGACAGAAUGAUUUGAGGGUUAUACGACAUUUCACUCCCCCAGAUGAUCCUGAAGGCAUUAAGUGGAGAGGAAAAAUAAGGGGGUCUCAGAGGCUUGUGGAGCUACGACUGCCACCCAGUCUGUCUGGAUCAGGGCUGGAGGACUUUUUUGGUGGAGGAAACAAUGAAAACAGUGUGGCCGCGCCCACCCUCACGGUCCUGCCCCCCUCCAGCGUGGAGCUGCAGCAGGGGAAGGCCACACUCGUGUGUUUGGCCAACAAGGGCUUCCCCUCAGACUGGAGGCUGAGCUGGAAGGUGGACGGGAGCAGCUGGAGCUCGGGGGUUAGCCAGAGCCCCGGGCUUCUGCAGAAGGACGACGGCCUCUACAGCUGGAGCAGCACCCUGACCCUCCAGGAGGACCAGUGGCUAAAGAAGACAGUGACCUGUGAGGCCACCAAGGACUCCCAGCCUCCUGUCCGCCAAACCCUGAGGAGAGAGCAAUGCACUGGGCAGUGAGCGUCCACGCGUGUGUUGGAGCUGCUAGAGCUCCUCUUGAUCUUCAGUGAGCUCAAACAUGGCUCUGCUUAAUGCUCUGAUCUUCAUCUCAUCACUUCAUCAUCACAAUAAAGAGUUUCAGUAUUAA